rfam:Schistocephalus solidus strain NST_G2 genome assembly, scaffold: SSLN_scaffold0000692
GGCCUCAUAGCUCAGUUGGCUAGAGCGUUGGCUAAACUAAAGCCUUCAACUUGCUAGUGUGGGUUCGAAUCCCACCGAGGCCA